GAUGAACGCUGGCGGCGUGCCUAAUACAUGCAAGUCGAGCGAACAGACGAGGAGCUUGCUCCUCUGACGUUAGCGGCGGACGGGUGAGUAACACGUGGAUAACCUACCUAUAAGACUGGGAUAACUUCGGGAAACCGGAGCUAAUACCGGAUAAUAUAUUUAACCGCAUGGUUCAAUAGUGAAAGACGGUUUUGCUUUCACUUAUAGAUUGAUCCGCGCCGCAUUAGCUAGUUGGUAAGGUAACGGCUUAGCAAGGCAACGAUGCGUAGCCGACCGAGGAGGGGGAUCGGCCACACUGGAACGGAGACACGGUCCAGACUCCUCCGGGGGGAGGCAUUAGGGAAUCUUCCGAAAGGGGCGAAAGCCUGACGGAGCAACGCCGCGGGAUGGAUGAAGGUCUUCGGAUGGUAAAACUCUGUUAUUAGGGAAGAGCAAAUGUGUAAGUAACUAUGCACGUCUUGACGGUACCUAAUCAGAAAGCCACGGCUAACUACGUG
rnacentral:rRNA from 1 species